CAGUCGCCGCGGUAAUACGAAGGGUGCAAGCGUUACUCGGAAUUACUGGGCGUAAAGGGUGCGUAGGUGGUUUUUUAAGUCCGUUGUGAAAUCCCUGGGCUCAACCUGGGAAUGGCAGUGGAUACUGGAAAGCUAGAGUGCGGUAGAGGGUAGUGGAAUUCCCGGUGUAGCAGUGAAAUGCGUAGAGAUCGGGAGGAACACCAGUGGCGAAGGCGGCUACCUGGACCAGCACUGGCACUGAAGCACGAAAGCGUGGGGAGCAAACAGGAUUAGAUACCCCUGUAGUCCCUGUCUCUUAUAC
rnacentral:rRNA from 1 species